UCGGGAAUUUUGGGCAAUGGGCGAAAGCCUGACCCAGCAACGCCGCGUGAGGGAUGAAGGCCUUCGGGUCGUAAACCUCUGUCGGGAGGGAAGAAAGGUAAACGGUCAAAUAGGCCGGGUGCUUGACGGUACCUCCAAAGGAAGCACCGGCUAACUCCGUGCCAGCAGCCGCGGUAAUACGGAGGGUGCGAGCGUUGUUCGGAAUCAUUGGGCGUAAAGCGCGUGUAGGCGGCUUGGUAAGUCGGGUGUGAAAGCCCGGGGCUCAACCCCGGAACUGCACUCGAAACUGCCUCGCUAGAGUCCCGGAGAGGAAGGCGGAAUUCCCGGUGUAGAGGUGAAAUUCGUAGAUAUCGGGAGGAACACCAGUGGCGAAGGCGGCCUUCUGGACGGUGACUGACGCUGAGACGCGAAAGCGUGGGGAGCAAACAGGAUUAGAUACCCCCGUAGUCC
rnacentral:rRNA from 1 species